CCAAUAGCGUAUAUUAAAGUUGUUGUAGUUAAAAAGCUCGUAGUUGAAUUUCGGGAUCAAGUCGUCGGUCGUGCCUCGGUACGCACUGGUGACAUUGGUUUCUCCCUUCUGAAGAACCUUGAUGUCAUUAAUUUGGUGUCUUGGGGAAUCAGGACUGUUACUUUGAAAAAAUUAGAGUGUUUAAAGCAGGCUCACGCUUGAAUACAUUAGCAUGGAAUAAUGAAAUAGGACAUUUGAUUCUAUUUUGUUGGUUUCUAGGAUCGACGUAAUGAUUAAUAGGGAUAGUUGGGGGCAUUAGUAUUCAAUUGUCAGAGGUGAAAUUCUUGGAUUUAUUGAAGACUAACUACUGCGAAAGCAUUUGCCAAGGAUGUUUUCAUUAAUCAAGAACGAAAGUUAGGGGAUCGAAGACGAUCAGAUACCGUCGUAGUCUUAACCAUAAACUAUGCCGACUAGGGAUCGGAUGAUGUUAAUUUUUUAAUGACUCAUUCGGCGCCUUACG
rnacentral:misc_RNA from 1 species